rnacentral:tmRNA from 1 species
GGGGUAGUAAAGGUUUCGACAGGGGAUGUGAAGACGGAGAAGCUAUUCGCAGGCGUGCGUUAAACGUAUCUUAAACAUAAACGCUGAAGACGAUUACGAUUUAGCGCUUGCUGCUUAAUUUAUUUAAACAGCAACGAAAGCCGUUUCUUCUAUAAACGGCGGUCCGGCCCGGUUUUCCCGCAGGACCGGUGCCCGGGCCUCAUUUAUGCGGGGUACUCCUGGCGGUGAUGUCUUGUAACCGUCAGGUGAUAUAACGGGACUCGGCUGUUUGUCGGCGUUGAUGCCCGGCAGACAGUUUAAAACGCUUUUUUGCAAAUGAUCAACUAUGAUAGUAGAAGACCGUACGGAGCGUUUUCUGGACACGAGUUCGAUUCUCGUCUACUCCACU